AUGGACUCAAAGGAUGCUCAAGAGAGUUUAGAGAGCGGCGGCGGCGGCGCGCGCUGUCGCUGUAGCAGCGGGCGGAGGACCACGGCGGCGGUGUUCAUCAUCCAGAGUUUAUUAACAGCCGCUUGUGCCGCCUUCAGCCUCAACAUCUUACUCAACCAGCAGCCCUUUCCACAGGACAACGGGAUAUUCAUGCAAAUGCUCCACUUAGAUUCACAUGAGUUGAAAUUCACAGUCAUCUGGAACCAGAGUGUUGUUCUGAACAAUCAGAAGAGGUUGAAGCUGUCCUGUGCAGGACCGUACAUGGUCUAUCUGUGGGCUUGUGUGGACAGCUACGGCACUCAGACGGUUGCCAACCUGACACUGGAACAGGGCAAUAAUUCGUUCCACCUGCAGACCCUGCAAGACGAAGGGUGCCAGGAGCAGCAAAGUGUUUUCAUGCUCUCUGAUAAAAGCGAAAUCACGUUGAAAGUCAGACAUACUGAAGACCCUUUCAAGAUUAAAAAGCUCUUCUUAGGCCUCCACUACAUGCUAGGAGCCCAGUGCUUCAAUCAUCCACUAUAGAAGCUCUCUUUUUUUAAGGUGCUCGUUCUCCAGAAGAGCUGUUUAAAUGAUGAAACUAUGGCAUGACCCUCAGUUUGAGUUACCAUGAAGAGAUAUCUCUCGUUUUCACCCUGAUUUGAAACUUGCCUGAGUUUGAAGUAUAAUGAUGAUGCCAUAGUCAGACUUUCCCUGGACCAAAAGUAUAAUCAUGAAGCUAAAGAAGAAGACUUGGAGAGCUGCAAAGACAUUUUUCCAUAGCGGAAGAGUCAUUUUUCCAUACUAUAUUAAAGCUUCCUGGCUCUUCAAGAUGGACUAUUUGUGAAACACCUACUGCAUCACAGUGGAAGUGGGCGACGACGUGGUAUUAACUGUAAUGGCACUUUGUCAGCGCAAAGAGAGCAUACCUCACCACAAUCUGGAUUAGUGGCGUUCCAUAAGCUCUUUGAAUGUAUUGAUACUCUGGUUGAAAGAGAAUGGAAGGCCUUUAUCUGAAGUGACCAGCUGCAGAUCAUUUUGAAGCUACUUCUGAUCAAUGUACGUAGUACUGUCAUUUGAGCAGGAUUAAUUACAACACCCUCAGAUAUUGUCCUGAUAGUGCUUUCAAAUACUGACAUAGCAAUAAUGUUCUCAAUGUUUGUCAUUGUCAUUAUAUUUAUAUAUAUAAAAAAAAAAAACUGGAAGAAAACUCCACAUAUCAAAGGAAAUACCAAAGGGUGACAUUUUUAUAUUUCAGUUUAGGCUUUGGAACAGGUACUGAAUAUGUAUAUUGUGUUUGUAAUACAGAAAUGAAUGUUGUUGUUUUUUUUUAUUUUUUUUUAUAAGAUUUUUAAUUAUCUAAAACAGUUUAAUUAUGUAAACUGUAUGCGAUCAAAUGUUUGAUGAUUUGUUAAAAUCAGAGUUACUGGAUAAUGUAAGGAGUUAAUCCACACGGUCAGAAACUUUGAAAGUUCUGAUAGUGUCCUUUCCCUUUACGAGCACAUGUCGGAAAAUGUAUUUAUUGAAAUUAAAUUAAAGUGUAUUUUUUUAUUUAAUCAAACCACUGCUAUAGUGAUGGUGAAGAAAAGCACUAAAGACCUCAAAAGCAAAACUAAAAAAAAAAACCUGUACCAUCCACAUCUCAUUCAUUCACUCACUCACUCAUCAAAUGUAUGUAAAUUCAGUCUUAAUGACAUUUUCAUCACUUUUUAGUUUGUUUUACUUUGUUUCAUUGUCAGUGCAAUGUGUUUGUUUAUCAAGCAUGAUCUCAAAUGUCUAACCUGCUCAAUCAAAUCCCUGCUGCAGUUUCUUUAGCAAUGCUUUAUUUAUACAGCAAAUUUUGCACUUUUAUUUUAAAAAUAUUAUUAUACACCAUCAAUAAAAAUGCAAUAUGCUGAAAUAUUUAAGUUUUU
ensembl:lncRNA